UACGAAGGGGGCUAGCGUUGUUCGGAUUUACUGGGCGUAAAGGGCGCGCAGGCGGCUCAUUUUGUCAGGCGUGAAAGCCCCGGGCUUAACCUGGGAACUGCGUUUGAUACGGAUGGGCUAGAGUUCGGUAGGGAGAUCGGAAUUCCUGGUGUAGCGGUGAAAUGCGCAGAUAUCAGGAGGAACACCGAUGGCGAAGGCAGCCCCUGGCUGACACUGACGCUGAGGCACGAAAGCGUGGGGAGCAAACAGG
rnacentral:rRNA from 1 species